CCGGGGACUGCAGAGCCCGGGACUGCACCAGCCAGUCCGUCCGACUGGCACCAGCAAGAGCAUGAUUCCAGUGCCAGAGGUGAGAGACAGGAAGAGCAAGCAUGGGCUGCGAGUGAAGCCAGGCUAGCCAGAACCACCUGGGCAAUGAGAAAACAGAAGCCAACACUGCAUAGAAUUAGCUGAGGACCAGUAGCUGCUAUGAAUCCUGGGCUGGUGAGACUGGAGAGUAAGUCAGCAGCUGCCUGGGAAACAGAAGGAGUUAACAGCUAUAUUUUUAACUCGGCACCCAUGGGAGUAAAUGACAAUAUCUAACGUAUGCAUUAAUACAGGAUGAAGUAUUCUGGGAAUCAAACAAUGGCCCAUCUCUUUUGCUGAGAAACCUACUUUCAGGAUCUGUCUUCUCAGGCUGCUUGCAAGCACAUACAACUGCAACGUGCCUCUGCCUCCAAGGUACCCAUUUCCAUUUCAUGGUGGGGAGAGGCUUGUGUGGACGUGUUUCCCUUCCUGAAAGACCAGGCCCACUUUCCUCCUUGCUGGUCUGUCUUUUGAAUAGAAAAAGGAAAAAACCUGGUCCUGCCUACUCAAUUUUAUAGAGCAUGAAGAAGGGCAGCUGCUCCAACAAGAGUCCAUCCUCCUGAGUUCCAGCCAGCCAAGCAUCUUGGAGGAAGCCCUAGUUACCAAGAACACAUCCGGAGUUCUGUGUCUGAUCAGCAAGGUGCCAUUUAUUAUGACUCCUCUCGUUAUCCCUUUCCCCCA